GUCCACGCCGUAAACGAUGUGCGCUAGACGUUGGUGGACCUAGUUCGCCAGUGUCGCAGCUAACGCAUUAAGCGCACCGCCUGGGGAGUACGGCCGCAAGGUUAAAACUCAAAGGAAUUGACGGGGGCCCGCACAAGCGGUGGAGCAUGUGGUUUAAUUCGAUGCAACGCGCAGAACCUUACCAGCCCUUGACAUGGGGAGUUUGGAUUGUGGAGACACGAUCCUUCAGUUCGGCUGGCUCCCACACAGGUGCUGCAUGGCUGUCGU
rnacentral:rRNA from 1 species